rnacentral:rRNA from 1 species
AACGAACGCUGGCGGCAUGCCUAACACAUGCAAGUCGAACGAGACCUCCGGGUCUAGUUGCGCACGGGGGCGUAACGCGUGGGAACCUGCACUUAGGUUCGGAAUAACUCCCCGUAGGGGAUGCUAAUACCGGUUAAUCUCUUCGGACCAAGGAUUUAUCGCCUUUGGAUGGGCCCUGGUUGGUUUAGCUGGUUGGUAGUGUAAAAGCCUACCAAGGCGAGGUUCCAUGGCUGGUCUGAGAGGAUGCUCCGCUACACUGGGGCUGAGACACGGCCCCGCAUCCUACGGGAGGGAGCAGUGGGGUAUAUUGUAGGAUGGGGGCUGGCCUGAUCCAGCCAUGCCGCGUAUGAGAUGCAGCGGUUAGGGUUGUAAAGCUCUUUUACACGAGGCGAUAAUGACAGUACCGGGAGAAUAAGCUCCGGCUAACUCCGUG